rnacentral:rRNA from 1 species
UACGCAGGCGGAAAAUUAAGUCAGUGGUGAAAUCCUGCAGCUUAACUGUAGAACUGUCAUUGAUACUGGUUUUCUUGAAUAUAGUUGAGGUAGGCGGAAUGUGUAAUGUAGCGGUGAAAUGCUUAGAUAUUACACAGAACACCGAUUGCGAAGGCAGCUUACUAAGCUAUGAUUGACGCUGAGGUACGAAAGCGUGGGGAGCGAACAGGAUUAGAUACCCUGGUAGUCC